rnacentral:rRNA from 1 species
CUUUGAACAUCGACAUCUUGAACGC